UACAGAGGUCUCAAGCGUUGUUCGGAUUCAUUGGGCGUAAAGGGUGCGUAGGUGGCGUGGUAAGUCGGAUGUGAAAUCCCGGGGCUCAACCCCGGAACUGCAUUCGAUACUGCCUUGCUAGAGUACUGGAGAGGAGACUGGAAUUCACGGUGUAGCAGUGAAAUGCGUAGAUAUCGUGAGGAAGACCAGUGGCGAAGGCGGGUCUCUGGACAGUUCCUGACGCUGAGGCGCGAAGGCCAGGGGAGCAAACGGG
rnacentral:rRNA from 1 species